GACGGGUAUCCGGCCUGAGAGGGUGAUCGGACACACUGGAACUGAGACACGGUCCAGACUCCUACGGGAGGCAGCAGUAGGGAAUAUUGCUCAAUGGGGGAAACCCUGAAGCAGCAACGCCGCGUGGAGGAUGAAGGUUUUAGGAUUGUAAACUCCUUUUGUGAGAGAAGAUAAUGACGGUAUCUCACGAAUAAGCACCGGCUAACUCCGUGCCAGCAGCCGCGGUAAUACGGAGGGUGCAAGCGUUACUCGGAAUCACUGGGCGUAAAGAGUGCGCAGGCGGGCUUGUAAGUCAGAUGUGAAAUCCUGUAGCUUAACUACAGAACUGCAUUUGAAACUAUGAGUCUA
rnacentral:rRNA from 1 species